rnacentral:lncRNA from 1 species
ACAUGAGACCCAAGGCAUCUUUUUACAAAACAUUUUAUUCAUUCCCUAUGUAGUCAUCGAUCAUACGUGAACUCAGGUUGCUGGAGGCGACUUUUCAAAGACUUCCUAGACGUGUGUCGCCAUCCCGUUCAUUUCAGUUAAAGCAGAAAACAACAAAGCAAUUUGUCAGAUGGACAAAAACAUUAUUGACGAGCUCAUUACAAAAUGUAUAGUACAAAACAAAAACCAACUAACAAGAACUUGGAAGCAACCUCGUUUCCUACGAACAGUAGUCUAGGCAACCAAUUCAAAUUUGGCACUUUCAAGAUCUUUCAAUAGGAAGCACAGCCACACACACACACACACACACACACACACACACACACACACACACACACACACACACACACACAAUAUCAACUCAGUCACACUACCAUUGUCAUCAGCUAAGUGACAGACACAGUCCUGGGCAUGUCGCUCACGCCUUCACUCUUUAUACUCCAGGAAGUGCUGCAGUCUCUUCCGGUGCUCGGCAGACAUCUGGACAGCGCUGGAAACCAGGGACACACAAAUCAGACAAUCAAAUCCGUGUUUGCAGGACUAGGACAAAGAUAAACUUUCAAACUAAGCUUCACAUCCACAACGGCAAAACAUGAUUACACCUAUUUUAUAGCAGUAGUAGAUGACCUGACCAAAUUCAUUGUGGGACCAAAACAUUACAAAGUAAAGUGUUGUGGUGCAAUUGAGCGUUCGGCUUCAACCUCAGUGUUGCUCAACAGCCAGCCCCCAUAUUACCGUAUCUCUCAGGUCCAGCCCCCCAUAUUACCGUAUCUCUCAGGUCCAGCCCCCCCCCCCCCCCCCCAUAUUACCGUUCUCUCAGGUCCAGCCCCCCAUAUUACCGUAUCACUCAGGUCCAGCCCCCCCCCCCCCCAUAUUACCGUAUCUCUCAGGUCCCGCCCCCCCCCCAUAUUACCGUAUCACUCAGGUCCAGCCCCCCCCCCAUAUUACCGUAUCACUCAGGUCCAGCCCCCCCCCCCAUAUUACCGUAUCACUCAGGUCCAGCCCCCCCCCCAUAUUACCGUAUCUCUCAGGUCCAGCCCCCCCCCCCAUAUUACCGUAUCACUCAGGUCCAGCCCCCCCCCAUAUCACCG